rnacentral:rRNA from 1 species
GUCGGCGACCAUACCACAUUGAAAGCACCGGUUCUCGUCCGAUCACCGAAGUUAAGCACCUUUAGGCCCAGUUAGUGCUUGCGUGGGUGACCGGCUAGGAAUACCGGGUUUUGCUGGAU